UACGAAGGGGGCUAGCGUUGUUCGGAAUCACUGGGCGUAAAGCGCACGUAGGCGGAUGUGCCAGUCAGGGGUGAAAUCCCGGAGCUCAACUCCGGAACUGCCUCUGAUACAGCACGUCUUGAGUUCGAGAGAGGUGGGUGGAAUUCCUAGUGUAGAGGUGAAAUUCGUAGAUAUUAGGAAGAACACCAGUGGCGAAGGCGGCUCACUGGCCCGGUACUGACGCUGAGGUGCGAAAGCGUGGGGAGCAAACAGG
rnacentral:rRNA from 1 species